rnacentral:rRNA from 1 species
UACAGAGGUCCCGAGCGUUGUUCGGAUUCACUGGGCGUAAAGGGUGCGUAGGUGGUGGGAUAAGUCGGAUGUGAAAUCUCGGAGCUUAACUCCGAGACUGCAUUGGAAACUGUCCUGCUAGAGGGUUGGAGGGGGGACUGGAAUACUUGGUGUAGCAGUGAAAUGCGUAGAUAUCAAGUGGAACACCGGUGGCGAAGGCGAGUCCCUGGACAACACCUGACACUGAGGCACGAAAGCUAGGGGAGCAAACAGG